UCCCUGCUGUGCUGGUGUAAAAGUUGUGUUUUUUGAGCCAACAUUUUGUGAAUGGGAUUGAUAAGCUGCCGUGGUGUGCAGGCCUUCUCCGGAAGGAAGCCUAAAGCGGUAUACGGAUAUCCCACCUGUCCUUGACAGGUUCAAAAAAAGGUUUUUGCACGGUGCUGCGGGGAA
rnacentral:other from 1 species